rnacentral:rRNA from 1 species
UACGUAGGGUGCGAGCGUUGUCCGGAAUUAUUGGGCGUAAAGAGCUCGUAGGCGGUGUGUCACGUCGGCCGUGAAAACCUGCAGCUUAACUGUGGGCUUGCGGUCGAUACGGGCAUCACUGGAGUUCGGCAGGGGAGACUGGAAUUCCUGGUGUAGCGGUGAAAUGCGCAGAUAUCAGGAGGAACACCGGUGGCGAAGGCGGGUCUCUGGGCCGAUACUGACGCUGAGGAGCGAAAGCGUGGGGAGCAAACAGG